GAGGCUCUCUGCUGCCCUUUGUUUUCUUAGGUUUUGCUGAGAAACGGGAGUGCGUUCUGUGUGGGUGUUUGUGACACCCUGAGACCCUGCUUGGCCUAGCUAAAGUCUGGAAAGCCUGGGUCCCACAGGGCUUGCAUGAGGGCCAUGGGCCUGUACUUCAGGAGGCCUGAGAGGCCCGGUCAGUCCCAUGAGGCUACUCAGCUUGGCCCGCAGGUCCUCCGAGGCACAGGGCAGAGGGACACCCCAGGGACCCAUCAGACUCACGACACGGAGAAACUCAAGUGGGGUGCCAGGGCCGGCUGCAGAGACCACAGGCUUCCUGCCUGUGAGGAGCCGCCCUGUUUGUCUGAGCCCCUCGGAGAUUUAGGUUUAGCCAUAAGAACCGGUCAUUGGAAUGUACACUUUAUUAUGUUACAAAAACAAAAAUCCCCACCGAAACACAGCUAAAAAAAUAACACAUUUUCCCGAGAUUACAUUACCAAAAACAGUUGUUAUGUCAUUGGAGGGCGUCCAUUAAUACUGCUCGGAGAAGCACGAUCCUACACGAAAAACACGGAUGGGAUUUCGUUUUCACCUUAAAGCAUUAAAGUGCUUUAACUGGUAACAGAGGAGUGGACGUUUGUGCGUUGGAGAUGCUGACUGUCCUGAGUGACAAGUGGUUCUGUGCCAGGAUACUGUGGGUUGGGCCCCUGGGUACAGCAGGGGCUUCCCAGCAGCCCAGGCCUGGUGGGAACGCUGGCGGAAUGGGGGAGAGUCGCUGUUUCUGACCAGAGUGACUUGGACGGAUGUGAGCUGACCUGCCUGGCGAGCUCCUUCUGCCUGGCCUUUCUGAGCAGACUCAGGACCACUGCCCAUCCCCCUUGGCCCCAGGAGUGCCAGCGGCCUCCCUCCCACCCCUGUACUGCUGGGAAAACCAUCCGCCUUCAAGAUUUGUUUGUUGAUUUGUUUAGUUUUAUGAAACACAUCGCUUAAAGGAUUCUUGUUCC
rnacentral:sRNA from 1 species